UACGUAGGGACCGAGCGUUGUCCGGAUUCAUUGGGCGUAAAGAGCGUGUAGGCGGCCAGGUAGGUCUGCUGUGAAAACUCGAGGCUCAACCUCGAGACGUCGGCGGAAACCAUCUGGCUAGAGUCCGGAAGAGGAGAGUGGAAUUCCUGGUGUAGCGGUGAAAUGCGCAGAUAUCAGGAAGAACACCCGUGGCGAAGGCGGCUCUCUGGGACGGUACUGACGCUGAGACGCGAAAAGCGUGGGGAGCGAACAGG
rnacentral:rRNA from 1 species